UACGGAGGGUGCAAACGUUAUCCGGAUUCACUGGGCUUAAAGGGUGCGUAGGUGGUCAGGUAAGUCAGUGGUGAAAUCUCCGGGCUUAACCGGGAAACUGCCAUUGAUACUAUCUGUCUUGAAUGCCGUGGAGGUGAGCGGAAUAUGUCAUGUAGCGGUGAAAUGCUUAGAUAUGACAUAGAACACCAAUUGCGAAGGCAGCUCACUACACGAAUAUUGACACUGAGGCACGAAAGCGUGGGGAUCAAACAGG
rnacentral:rRNA from 1 species